rnacentral:rRNA from 1 species
UACAGAGGUCUCAAGCGUUGUUCGGAUUCAUUGGGCGUAAAGGGUGCGUAGGCGGCGCGGUAAGUCGGGUGUGAAAUCUCGGAGCUUAACUCCGAAACUGCAUUCGAUACUGCCGUGCUUGAGGACUGGAGAGGAGACUGGAAUUUACGGUGUAGCGGUGAAAUGCGUAGAUAUCGUAAGGAAGACCAGUGGCGAAGGCGGGUCCCUGGACAACUCCUGACACUGAGGCACGAAAGCUAGGGGAGCAAACAGG